AUUGAAUGAACAAACAGUAGACCACAGCCUGGAGUCCGGCCAUGGACGAGUCCUCCUCGAUGCCUAAGGGGCCAGAAGAGUACAGGGUCUGAAAAGAGGCCAAGCACAGAAAAGAACACCAAAUACAAGGUUGCUAGUGUCACCCUUCUGCUCAGUGUCAACAGCUGGUGGCAACUGCAGCUGUGAGGCGAGAAACAAACUAGACCUGCACCGUUUAAAAUGCCCCAGUGGAAAAGACUGAGAUAAAUUGCUUCGAAAAGGUAUGCAAACAAACACAUUUUAAAUUGCCAGAGCUCAAAUUGUGAUAUCUAUUAAAAAUUCAAAUGCAUACACUCUUUGACCUAACAAAUCCACUUUUAGCAAUUUAC
rnacentral:lncRNA from 1 species